rnacentral:rRNA from 1 species
CCUACGGGAGGCAGCAGUAGGGAAUCUUCCACAAUGGGCGAAAGCCUGAUGGAGCAACGCCGCGUGGGUGAAGAAGGUCUUCGGAUCGUAAAACCCUGUUGUUAGAGAAGAAAGUGCGUGAGAGUAACUGUUCACGCUUCGACGGUAUCUAACCAGAAAGCCACGGCUAACUACGUGCCAGCAGCCGCGGUAAUACGUAGGUGGCAAGCGUUAUCCAGAUUUAUUGGGCGUAAAGGGAACGCAGGCGGUCUUUUAAGUCUGAUGUGAAAGCCUUCGGCUUAACCGGAGUAGUGCAUUGGAAAAUGGGAGACUUGAGUGCAGAAGAGGAGAGUGGAACUCCAUGUGUAGCGGUGAAAUGCGUAGAUAUAUGGAAGAACACCAGUGGAGAAGGCGGCUCUCUGGUCUGUAACUGACGCUGAGGUUCGAAAGCGUGGGUAGCAAACAGGAUUAGAUACCCGAGUAGUC